rnacentral:lncRNA from 1 species
GGACCGUCCGUGCCUGUCCAGUCCCGGCGGCUGGGUGGCGCGAGCUUUUUGAGUAACGUGAAGUGGAAAUUAUCGUGGUCACCUUGCCCUGUGAGGGGGUUCUUCAGCAGUUGGAAAGAUGAGCUCACUUCUGAAGACGCAUAACUGGAAGGCAGUGAUGAACAGUAAGCCAGAGACGGCCACUCUUCUGCAGCCAAAGCAAAUAGACUCAUAUCAGAUAAGCACUUCAAUUAAAGACUUGUAUGCUCGCUUUCAGGGAGGUGGAAAGUUCUAAAGUGUCAGCUUUUGCUGAUCCAGCCAUCUGGCCUGAGCUCUUCCUGCCUAUCCUCCCCCACGAAUAAAAGUUGUCAUAGUUUUCUGGAUGGGAAACUUGCUGCAGAGGGGAAGUCCUUGAAACCCUGAUUCAAUGGAGGACAUUAGAGAGCUUCUGAGGCUUCAUUGGAUAUUAAGGUGUUCACAUUCAGGAUAGAAUUCAUAAGGACACCAUAGGAGUUCUCCUGUGGUGCAGCUGGUUAAGGAUCUGGCACUGUCACUGCAGUGGCUUGGGUCGCUGCUGUCAUGCAGGUUCGAUCCCUGGCCCAGGAACUUUUACAUGCUGCAGGUGCAGCCUCCUCCCCCAAAAAAAGAUAAAUAAGAAAAUUCGACAAAGCGCAAAAGAGACAAUGGCCCAUUCCUAUCGCGAUGGGAUGAUGGUACUUGAGUUCACCCAGGAAUAAUGUGUUGUGAAACAAGACAAGAGGACUCAGAUUGACUCAUCUAUCCAUCACGUAAGAACCUCCAUCCUCUAAGGCAGACGAACAGAAACGCGAGAAAGCUACAGAGAAGGGGCGGCCAAAGACAUAUGUGUAAAGAGAGAUGGUGUCCUAGGAACCAAGAGAGAUUAUUUCAAGAAGUGGUCGCUAGUUUCGAAUGCUUCUGAUAAAGCAAGAAUGGAAAAGUCCAUGGGACAUACUUGAAUCUCUGGCAGCAUCUGGCACAGUCUCGUUUACAUGGUAGGAAACGAUGUAUUUAUUGAGCUGAAGUAUAGAGAACAAGAAGGAAGACAGGAACAUCUGAACUUUGUUACUAACGCUACUGUUCAGCAGAUCAUCUGUUCCAAACUGUAGAAAUUUAAAUCUUUCCCAUGACUUCUGAGUGUAGCCUCCACUUGGAACAUUUUCUCAGCUUUCCUUAAGCACCGGGAGCAUCUUCCCUGUUGUUACAUGUUGUUCCAAAAACGACUGUUAAUGACUGCAAAAUAUUCCCUUAUUUGGAAGUACCAUGAUUUAUUUAGCCAUUCUCUUGGGGAUUUAGACAGUUUUUAAUGUUUCACUACUAUGAUAACUUUCCCCCCUAACUAUGCUUUUAGGUAACUCUUCAGCCACACUAUUUCCUUGGGCUAGAUUCCUAAAAUAGCAUUGCUUAUUUCUGUUUUUACUCACUUAUAUAGUUCAUUUCAUAAAUGCUGUAAGGAUGGCAGAAAAGUUCCAAAUGGCAUUAAGAAAGGCGUGAAGGUAAGUGUUCUAAAAAUCGGUAGAGGAGUUCCUGUUGUGGCUUAGCAGUAAGAAACUCAACUAGUAUCCAUGAGUAUGAGGGUUCGAUCCCUGGCCUCGCUCAGUGGGUUAUGGAUCCCGUGUUGUCGUGAGCUGCAGUGUAGGUUGUAGCUGCGGCUCCUAUUUGACCCCUAGCCUGAGAACUUCCAUGUGUCGUGGGUGCGGCCCUAAAAAGACGGAAAAAAAACAUUGGUUGAGAAUGAGAGCAGAAGUAAAUUUAGUAGAGAAUAGAGAUGCUGGGAGGACCGGACGGGUAUGAACUUCAGAUCUGAAGGUGCGGUGAUUUAUUCUUAACCCAGCACCCAGAGACUAGACUAGCUACGUAACUUGUGGGGCUCAGUGGGAAACAGAAACGCAGAGUGCCUUUUCAAAAAUUAUUACGACUUUCAAAAUGGCAAUAAGAGAGACAUGAAACCAAGGUCCUUCUAAGGAGAAGGUCUUGAGCGACUUCAUAGGUCACACCUAUGAUACUGGCCUUGCCCAGAGGUUAUGGGGUCCCCCCAAGUUGCGGGCCAAUUAAAAUGUACAGGAGGAGUUCCCUUGUGGCACAGCAGGUUAAGGAUCUGGCAUUGCCACUACAACAGCUUGGGUCACUGCUGUGGUGCAAGUUCGAUCCGCAGCCUAGGAAUUUCCAUGUGCCUUGGGUGCAGCCAAAUAAAAUAAAAUAAAAUGUGCAGGAGACUGAGGGAGGUACCCAAAUAUCACUCUUUUAACUUAUAGGACAAUAGAACAGCACGUAGAGUGGAGCCCCAACAUAUGGGGUCGCCUCUAGACUUUAUUGCCAAAGUGUGUAAGCUCUCAGACAAGGCACUCAACUGCUGUAAACUCUUCAAAUAUUAGCGACUGGAUUAUCUCUAAAAAACCCUGCAGGUUCUGAUCUCUCCAUUUGGAUUGUGAGUAUCUGGGCAAGAGAACUCUGUUUUUUUAAACUUAUUACCUGUAGGAACCAGGGUGGUUAAUUUUUUUUUCUUCUUUUUCCAGCCGUACCUAUGGCUUAUGGAGGUUCCCAGGCUAGGGGUCAUAUUGUAGCUGUAGUUACUGGCCUCUCCCACAGCCACAGCAACGCCAGACUCGAGCCUCAUCUGCGACCUGUGCCACAGCUUGCAGCAACACUGGAUUUUUAACCCACUGAGUGAGGCCAGGGGUGGAACCCAAAUCUUCUGGGAUACUAGUCAGGCUCUUAACCCACUGAGCCACCAUGGGAACUCCAGAGGGUGGUUAAUUUUAUGUGUAGACUUGGCUGAGUCAUGGUGCCCAGAUAUUUGGUUAAAUAUCAUUCUGGGCGUUUUCAUGAGGGUAUUUUUGGAUGAUGUUAACGUUUAAAACAGUGGACUUUGGGAGCUCCUGAUCAGUGGUCACGAACCUGACUAGGUUCCUGGAGAGACCUGCCUCAUACAGGAACAUAGCACCUAGGAGAUGGUGAAUAAAUCCAUUCAUUCCACACAUGUUUUUCUAAAUGAUGAAUCAACCAAACAUUUCACUCCAUGUACACCAUUUAUUAUACAGAGUUACAUUUUAAAGGAAUUUUCCAUUCAUCAUAAUAUCAAUCUUCAGGACGAAUUUUCUCUAUUAUGUAGUUCAUUGAUUUUUUUAUUCUUUUUUUUCUUUUGUUUUUAAAGUUCUUAUUUCAUCUGAUUUUAGAGCUGAGUCAUAGAGGUGUUUUAGAUUUUUAAAAAGUAUCAUUUGACUUCCAAAAUGGAUGUUAAAUUUGUAAAAGGGACUUUGGAAUUUAAAUAAUAGAAUCAAUGACUCUAAUGCUUCAGGCCUUAAAAAGAUUUUAUAUGAAGUUCAUGUACUUUAUGGGAAUUGUAAUUGGCAAUAAAGUGACUAUAAAAUGGUAGCUGCUAAGAAAUACGAGACUAAUAAGAGUAACAUUAGGAGAAGCAUCCGUACGCUUCCUGAUGUUGCUGGGGGAACUGAGCUCUCAUUGCCUUACUGCAGCAAGCUCAGCAGCAAACGUCAAUAUUGGUUUUUCCUUCUGCUCCGUCUCCUGAUCUCUCAUGCCUGCUUCCUGGGAUCGUCUCCCAAAUAAACUACGAGACC